rnacentral:rRNA from 1 species
UACGUAGGGGGCAAGCGUUGUCCGGAUUUAUUGGGCGUAAAGAGCGUGUAGGCGGCCAGGUAGGUCCGUUGUGAAAACUCGAGGCUCAACCUCCGAGACGCCGGUGGAAACUGCAAAGCUAGAGUCCGGAAGAGGAGAGUGGAAUUCCUGGUGUAGCGGUGAAAUGCGCAGAUAUCAGGAAGAACACCCGUGGCGAAGGCGGCUCUCUGGGACGGUACUGACGCUGAGACGCGAAAGCGUGGGAGCAAACAGG